AGACAAGCCAAGAUUUCGUUAACCAGACAAAAAAACAGAAUACACGUGCUAUUGGGCUAUCAGAAGACAACAACAGGGCAAGUAGGCAUGGGGGAGGUAAGUUUAUAUAUGCUUAGUGCAAUUCUAAAUGGGCUAACUUCCUAUCAGAAUUCACUAUAACACGUGGAAGGUAUUUAGUACUUCCACUUAGUCCUGUGAUGUAAUAUUU